rnacentral:tmRNA from 1 species
GGGGGUGGAAUGGAGGUCGAGGAGGAAAAAAAGAAUUAUCGGAGCUAGCAGGGUGGCUCCCUUAAUAGCCUCUUAAAGUGCCAACAGAGUCCCAGUUUACGCUCUUUCGUAAAGUAAAGAGCGGCUUCUAAGAAACUUUAGAGGGGAGUUUCUUAGGGGUUAAAAAAAUCCCUCUUAGGUUUUAGGUGAUGGCUCUAGCCUAAAACCGAAAUUAAGAGCCUAGCUUUUGAGAGGUUUGUCUGUUUUUCCUCUCAAAAAGCAAAUUUUAAAAACAGACUGCGCUAGGAGAACCGAUAAUUCUUUUUCCUCCGAUGGGGGUUCGAUUCCCCCCACCUCCAC